rnacentral:rRNA from 1 species
GAUCCUGGCUCAGGAUGAACGCUAGCUACAGGCUUAACACAUGCAAGUCGAGGGGAAACGACAUCGAAAGCUUGCUUUUGAUGGGCGUCGACCGGCGCACGGGUGAGUAACGCGUAUCCAACCUGCCCACCCACUUGGGGAUAACCUUGCGAAAGUAAGACUAAUACCCAAUGAUAUCUCUAGAAGACAUCUGAAAGGGAUUAAAGAUUUAUCGGUGAUGGAUGGGGAUGCGUCCGAUUAG